UGAGAUGGCCAGGCAAUCGCGCUUUUAGAAUACUAAUUGUGAGGAAAGUCCGGGCUCCAAUGGGCAGGGUGCCAGAUAACCUCUGGGAGGCGUAAGCCUACGGCAAGUGCCACAGAAAAUAUACCGCCUGAUUUUUCGAAAUCAGGUAAGGGUGAAAUGGUGCGGUAAGAGCGCACCGCGCGGCUGGUAACAGACGUGGCAGGGUAAACCCCACCUGGAGCAAGACCAAAUAGAGGAACAGUUUGCUUGCAAACACGUGCGGCCCGCAUGGUUCCUGGGUAGGUUGCUUGAGGCAAACGGUGACGUUUGUCCCAGAUGAAUGAUUGUCCUCGACAGAACCCGGCUUAUCGGCCAUCUCGUUUU
rnacentral:RNase_P_RNA from 1 species